GUCCAGCUGAUGAGUCCUAACUAGGGCGAUACACGCGUCCUGAAU
rnacentral:hammerhead_ribozyme from 1 species